GGUUGUCUUCGCAGUUACGAAACUGCUGAAAUCCGUCCUUCAAUCCAUGGCGGAAAGCAGCCGCAGCGGUGGUGGCGGAGUUUUAGAGCUACCACCGGAGAUAAUCCACCAUAUCCUAUCUUACCUCUCAGCCGAAGAAUCAACAAGAGCGAGUUUACUAUCGAAAUCAUGGUUAGGAGCGUGGCAAACACGCCCAAAGUUGGAAUUCAAUCCUAAGCUCUACUUCCACAAGAAACUCAAGCUACGCAGCACCUGGCUUCGGAGCAAAAAAGAGAUAACGAAUAUUUGCGAGGAGUUUUUCUGGCACGUGAAGAAAACCCUGAAGCCCUACCGCAAGCAGGGGAUAUGUAUAGACACGUUGAAUUUCAGGGUUGAAGGAGUCUUUUCGCUGUUGAACCCAUUCGUCAAGGAAUGCACGAAGGUAGCCGCGCGAAACGGGUUGGAGGAAUGCACGAAGGUAGCCGUGCAAAACGGGGUGAGGAAUCUUGAUUUUUCACUCCCAGACUGUGAUUUGCCUGAAAUUGUGUUUGGGGCUAAAUCCCUAGUUGAAUUGAGUGUUAGGGACGGUUAUAUCAUGUCAAUGUCAGUUGGGAAGAUUAUGUGUUCUGAGCUUAGAAAACUAUGCCUUAUAAAGGUAGAUUUGGAUGUAGAGAUGUUUGAUAAUAUAACUGAAAGCUGCCCUUUAAUUGAAGUGUUAGAAGUUCGGUACAUUGAGGGGUUUGAUAAUUUUAAGGUGACUAAGUUGAAUAAUCUUAAGGAACUUGCAGUUGGAUUACUUGAAAAUCAGUCGGUUAUAGUUGAUGCACCAGAGCUUGAGUCGCUCACUUGCAUAGAUGAGGAAAAUGGUAAUGAGGAUGAGGACGAAUAUGAGGAAUCGACUUGUUUGAUUACUUUGACUGCCUCAUGGUAUCAGAAUCUCAAGUGUUUACUGUUUACUGGGAUUGGGAUCGGCGACUCUUUCUUUAUGGAAUUUGCAUAUAAGUUUCCCAACCUUGAGGAUUUGAUAGUGAGAUAUUGUAGAGAAUUGGAAAGCAUCAAGAUUUCAAGUCAGUCCCUCAAGAGGAUACAGUUGAUGGACAAUAAUAGGUUGGUAGAGGCACAGUUUGAUGUUCCAAAGAUUGUUUCUUUUGAAUAUUGUAGUGGUCGCAGCAUCGUACCCCGGUUUCAUUUCGCAGCUGCAUCCAGCGGUUGGACUUCUUACUUUUGUUUAUCCAAGAGGGUUCAUGUUAAUAGUUCAUGGUUUGUCGAAUUGAGAGAAUUAUUAGCAAGUGUAAUUCAGUCCAAAAUUUCACUUGAGAUUGACUUUGGAUGCAGCAUAUCCUUUGAUCUGGAUGAGAUUAGAAAUAUAGUAAAAACUCAUGAGCCUCAAGAGGUGCAUGAGUUGGCUUUGCAAUUUGAUUGGAUGUUCUCCUUAGAGAAGGGACUUUCAGCCCUUGAUGGUCUUUUUUGGGUUUGUCGUCCUAAAUAUGUCUACGCACACUGGGAUGAUGACGUACGAGAGAAUGAGGCAAUGAAGUUUCUAUAUGAGACACUGAUGUUCAGAAAAAUUCAGGAUAGGUUUCAUGAUUCACAGCUAAGUAAGAUUUGGCUGCAUGAUUUAAAGGAAGUCAAUGUUGAGGUCUUUGAUAUGGGUACAUAUGUGAUAGUGGAUAGAAUUGUUUUUACUAAAAGGGGGAUGAAGGAGCAGCAGCAGCAGGAAGAUUUGGACUGGGAGAACUUUUUGAGUUUGUUGAGAAAUAAUGGGAUUAGGGAAAGGAUAGUUUGCUUCAAGUUGGAAUUUAGAACACAUGAUAUACCACAAGAAGUUAAAAGAUUGAAAAUGCAGAAUUUGAAGUUGGAUCAACAACAGAAACUGUGAAUGGUACCAAAAUUUUGGUGUUUUUAAAGGAUGGAGAAGCUUAUUGCUAGUGUAAUUCACCAUUAAGUGCAAUAAGGUUACAUGUCAUCAAGAAGCAUGGAGGAAGGGUUAGAGAUUGCUAGGAUUCAAGAAGGAAUUUGCGGUGAUGGUUAUAUUCUAUCAUACUUACAUGAGCUGUUUAGGAAGUUGGACAAACCAUGGCUAGUAUUUCUUAAUUUUUAACCAGUUGUUGGGAAUAUUGAAAAUUAUACUGAUUUGGAGGUUUUGAUUCAUUUUGGAGUCUGUUUAUGCUUUUACUUGAUAUUUUAAGGUUACAGGUACUACUAUUUCAUCUAAAGAUCCAGUGCUGGUUGAACUGAAAUAGCAACAGUUGAAUCUAACUGGCAACCAUUAUCUGAAUUUUUGAA